UUUUUUUCUUCUUCUUUUCA
rnacentral:sRNA from 1 species